AAAAAAUAUAAAGAGAAGGUCCAAUCUUUAGUUGGAAUAUUUUUUGAAUUUUUUGAAAGUUUUUUGAAAAUUGAUCGAAAUAAUAGAUGAGAUUAUGAAAAUAUUAUGUUAAAUUUCAAAAUGUGUGUCAAUUAAUCUGAUCGUUGGGACAAUUUUAACCAAGACGAUUUAGUGAUCGGCUAAUCGGAUAAGAAAAAUGAAAUAUCGUUUGGAAAAUAUCGGUCGAUAAUUUUCAACUCGCGACUCGUGUAUCAAGAGAAUAUAAUUUUUUUUUUUUUUUGCAGUUUUUUGGAAUAGAAAAGUUCAUUUUCGUUCCAUAUUUUUCAAAAUUAUACGAUAAAAUAAAAUAAAAUAAAAUAAAAUAAAAGACUGCAAUAAGCAAAUGAAUAAUAAAAUUCUACAACUUAUGAUACGUACGAUAUUCUCGAUAGAUCAUUUUAAUCCUCACGGUUCAAUGGCUGAAUUUUAUUCCAAAAUGAAAUAAAUUUGAAUUUAAUAUCUCGCCAUUAUUUAGCCAUUGAAGUCGUGAAUCGUUCGACAAGAUUAAUAUCCUAUGUAUAAACUAUGUUUCGUUUUGUCGAUGAUUUUAAAGAGAGAGAGAGAGAGAGAGAGAGAAAAGUCGAGUCGUUGAUCAACCGUGUGAAAUCUUUAUAGAAUCCCUUAUUAUAAGAUAGUCGGUAUACAGAAUAUAAAAUCAAGGAUCAAUUUUAUCAUAAUAUUGUUUGUAAUACCUCUCUUUGCGAAAACAUAUUCCUCGUAUUAUAAAUCCUGACCAUCUCGACUGGAGAACAAAUCACACACCGUCCGAAAAAUUGUAUACCGUCCUUACAAGACGAGAUCUCGCGCGAUUGUAAUAUCGAGAUAGGGUAUAUGCGAUUAUCGAUUUAUAUUCGAAAAAUUGAAUAUGGCGAUCGUUCAUUUAUCCGAUGUGGUGGAAUGGUCCCUUCGUUGGUAUACUUUUUUCUGUUUCGAAAAAUUCAAACAAAAUCAUCGAGGAUUGUGUAAAUAGGGUGAAAAAAAAAAAAGAAUUUGUACGAGAAUAAAAUGUGUCAGCUUCGUUUUAAUGUCUUAAUUCGUGAUUGACCCAUUAAGUAUCAGCUUUUAAAAUGAUUUUCCAAAUUAUGAAUAUUUGAUAUAUAAUAUAUAUAUAUUAGACGAGUUCCUUUUAGUGCUCCUUUCGUUUUAUCGAAUAGUUGUAAUAGUUUUUAAGUAAUCGUAAUAGUAUAGUGUUAACCAUUCCUAAAAACUAAUUAAUAAUUGUUGAAAAUUCGUAAUAAUUUAUUCGAAAAAUGAUUUAGCGAUUAAAAAGAUAAACAUAUCUAUGGAAAUAUAAUAUAAUGGUAAUAGAAAUGCAAAACAUUCGUUCGUCGUAAUUCGCUAUUUUAUUAGAAAAACAUUAUUAAAUAGUUUGGACCGGACACACGCGCAAACAUGUUCGGUGUUACGUCGAUAAUGAUAGAUGACAAAAUUUUUAAACAGCUACUAUAAUUUCAAUUUUUUAACUUUUUGUGGCCUAGAUCUAUAAUACUUAUAGGUACAGUUCAAGACUUUCAGAUGCAAAUUCUAGUUCUUUUGAAAUGAUAUCCUAAAUAAAAUUACAUCAUUACAAAUGAUUUUGUCAAGAUUAAAAUUAAUAUAACGAUUUACUGCCAAUUUAAUAAAUUUUGCAGAUUAUUAUUUUCAUAAGUAGCAAUAAGUUUUUAAUAAAUCUCUACUAUUUUUUUUAAUUUUAAACUAAAAAUCUAGAAAAGAAUUAUAUAUUCAACAGAAUUGAAUAUACUAUAAAUAAAAUAAUGGAAUAUUGUUUUUUUUUAAAGAAGACAAGAAUUAUGAUCUGGAGGUCUCAAACGGCAUUAAGUAUCAAAACAAUGAUAUACAAAGAACAAUACAAUUCACUCAUCGACAAAUAAGUCCGGUAAUUAAUAUUAACAAAUAUCUUUGUCAUUAAUUUAAAACCAUGUAUAAACAUCUGUACGCCGUAACGAUUUUAUAAUAGUCUUUAGGUUAGGAUGG
rnacentral:lncRNA from 1 species